rnacentral:rRNA from 1 species
GUCUACGGCCAUCCCACCCUGAAUGUGCCCAAUCCCGCCUGAUCUCGGAAGCUAAGCAGGGUUAGUACUUGACGGGAGACCACCCAGAAAGACCAGGUGCUGUAGCCG